rnacentral:rRNA from 1 species
UACGUAGGGGGCAAGCGUUGUCCGGAAUCAUUGGGCGUAAAGCGCGUGUAGGCGGUUCUGUAAGUCUGCUGUGAAAGUCCAGGGCUCAACCCUGGGAUGCCGGUGGAUACUGCAGGGCUAGAGUACGGAAGAGGCGAGUGGAAUUCCCGGUGUAGCGGUGAAAUGCGCAGAUAUCGGGAGGAACACCUAUUGCGAAGGCAGCUCGCUGGGACGUUACUGACGCUGAGACGCGAAAGCGUGGGGAGCAAAUAGG